rnacentral:ncRNA from 1 species
UUGGCAAAACCGGUGAAAACCGGCGACGCAAAGCUAUAGGGUCUUCGUCCUUGGACAUGACAGCCAGUUGCA